UACUGUUGGAAUUUGCUUCAGGCCUCUGUU
rnacentral:piRNA from 1 species